GAUGUUCCUUGAAGUCAUUAAGGAGGCCAAGUAAACUAAAUCACAAAUAACACAGCAUCAGAUGUGUCCUGGUUCCCUUUGCACAUUUUGUUUUUCAUCGUUUCGUGUCUCUGCUUUGCAGAUGGUAYGUGCCUCUCUUCAGCCUCAUCUUCCUCAUGAUCUGCUGCUAUGGCAGAAUCAUCUGUGUGGCCAAUAACAGAAUGCAGUCCUGGCGGGGAACCUUCAACCCCGAGCGCGAGAGACGAAAGGUUUCCUUGGCCGAGGAGAUCAAGCCGCUGAAGUGGUAUCCGUCUGUUUACCUGCUGGUGUCCACCUUCCCGCUGGUUAACAGGUAGCCGCUCGGCCUCACCUGGCCGCCAUAUAAACCCUGUUGUUUGAUUCACUUUGUUCCGCUCAUCCUAUCUCCUCCUCCGCCGCCUUAGCAUAUCUCGUCCUUUGUUCUCCCUUAUCUGAACUCUCACAAAGACUUUGCCGUACGAGCACUAUAAAGGAAGUUGUCGUGUGUGUGUGCGUGUGUGUGAGAUGGAGGAAUAAAGCAUUUUAUUGCCUUUUUUAUAAAACGGGAGUUUCAUCAGCUGGGGUUCAGCAGGAGGAGGUCCGGUAAAUGAUAACCCCCUUCCCCAUCCUUCCCACCACGGCACCGUUAUCACUCUUUCACCCGCUUYCCUUCCCGUCCUCCAGCUCUCCCUCCCCACCUUCCCUCACCGAGCUGGUGUGAUUGACAGGUCAGGGUUACUAAGUGAUUAGCUGUAGCGGCUCUGCUUGUCGCCACCGCCAUGUAGGCGGAGACACAGGUCAAUUACAGGGUCAACGUCUUUCAAAGGCUCCGGCUCAAACACUGCCCCCACCCCCCCCGUUCCCCUUACGCGCACCCUCCCUCUUUCGCCCCCUGUACCCUUCCUCUCUCUCUGUUCACCUUUCCAUCUAUCCCACUCGUUCCUCCUCCUCCUCCUCCAUGGCUGUUGGCUGAUGAAGAUGACAAACGGCAUCCUGUGUUAACCUCCCUGCUCUCCUUCCUCUCUCCCUCUUUUACGCUCUAAAAGUCUGUUAUAGCCCCCAUAUUUUUACUCCUCCUCGCUCGGGCUUUCCAUCUUUCUGCCUCUAUGUUUUUAUGUCACCACCACCACAGCCGCCGCCGCCACCUCCUUCCUUCUCCUCCUGCACUUUUCCACACAAAGCCCCUCUCUCCCUCUCCUGAGCAAAUACGCUCUCGCUCGGCUCCGCUCUGCCUUCCUCCAGAGAAUGAACGAGGGGAAAACAGGAAUGAAUUGCUCUCUCGUCCUCGUCAUCCUCCUCCUCCUCCUCCUCCUCCUCCUCCCCUGGUUCAGCAGCAGCAGCGGUGGCAGCAGCAGCAGCGCUGGCUGUAUAUAUCUCCGGCUCCUAUUAAUUUGUUAGCCCCCCUCCCCUYCUCCUCCCCGGCCCUCCUCUCCCCCCCUUUUCGUCUCCCCGGCUCAUAUCCUCUUCCACCUCCUCGCCUCUUUUCCACCGUCUCUCCCUCCCUUUCCUUCCCUCCCCUCGGCUGAGUGCCGGAGUGUGUAAAGUGUUUGUCACGGUGCCGUGCCGAUGUCGCUGUGCUCUCGCUUCCUCGCCGCCUCGGCUCCGCGUGUGUUGUCCUGCGCGUGCGCGUAAAGUGGGUGGCUGGUUUUCUGUGUCGAGGCGAAUGUGCUGUCGCUGCUUGUUGCUGCGGAGCGCACGCCGUGUUUGUUCGCUUCGACUCGAGAGAGAGAGAGAGAGAGAGAGAGAAUGUGUGCGUGCGCCUCUUAUUUUC